rfam:TPA: Bos taurus chromosome 1, whole genome shotgun sequence.
UCCCUGUUGGUCUAGUGGUUAGGAUUCCUGGUUUUCAUCCAGGCUACCGAGGUUCAAUUCCUGGGCAGAGAA